GACGAACGCUGGCGGCGUGCCUAAUACAUGCAAGUCGAACGCAGUGGGGACGGGUGAGUAACACGUGGGUAACCUCCCAUCAGAGGGGAUAACACUUGGAAACAGGUGCUAAACCGAUACUGAUGGAUGGACCCGCGGUGCAUUAGCGAGUUGGUGAGGUAACGGCUCACCAAGGCAACGAUGCAUAGCCGGCCUGAGAGGGGGGUCAGCCAAACGGGGAAUGAGAAAAGGCCCAGACUCCUACGGGAGGCAGCAGGAGGGAAUCUUGGGAAAUGGACGAAAGUCUGACCGAGCAACGACGAGUGAGUGAAGAAGGUUUUCGGAUCGUAAAACUCUGUUGUUAGAGAAGCGGUAUCUAACCAGAAAGCCACGGCUAACUACGUGCCAGCAGCCGCGGUAAUUC
rnacentral:rRNA from 1 species